CUUAAAGGAAGUGUACAGCCCUGUAGCUGCAGCCCUGUAGGUGCAGACACAUACUAUUUGGGGGGGGGUUUCAAUGGGCACACUUUCUCUGUAAGAGUCACAACAGUAAGCUCUGCUUUACGGUUGUAGAGCAGAAGACAUGGCAGAGCUGUAGCCAGUCUCUACUAGCCGUCUUUCACAUCAAGUCACCACUUAUAUUUGUUCCUGCUAGCGGAGAGUGGACCGAGAGGCUAGCUAGCGAUCUGCUAACAUUGUGAAGUGCACCGUGCGGGUGGACCAGAGUCAGGCAGAGACCGCUGUGCCCCAGGACUGGUCGCCAGCCAUCACCCAGGUCUGCUCGUGGACAACUUGAGUAUCAGAAACAAAACCUUUUCUUUCUAUAGAGCUCUAUAGUAUUUUUUUUGGGGGGGGGGGGGGGGUGGUACCCAAAUUUUGUUUCCUUUGCUGACAAUUUUUUUUUUUUUUUUGGAUUCGGAAAUGCCAAAUUGUGGAUCACCACAAUUUGUUGAGAGGAGUAACUGUUCAUUAACUUAGAGUAAAAGGACUGAUUUACUUUUGAUAAACAUUGAAAAGAGACAUUUUACAAGGUUCUGAGUUGGGAUAUUUCUUUUAUGUUGUUGGCCACCAUUUGUGUUGCAGGACUAAGUCAUAUUAUUUAUAUCGAAGCUGAAGAGAGUUUAUUUUAUUAUUAUUGUUAAUAUUUUUUUGUUGUUUGUGUGCGUGUGUCACUAACAUGAAAGAACAUAAUUUGAGCUAAACAAACAGACACUGACUUAAAGGGAAGGUACGUUUCAGUCCAUAAAAUCUUUUACUUUAUUUUAUUGAACUUAGGCAGCAUACCACUGCCAGACCCAGAAUAAAUUCCUACUGAGUACAUUUGCACCUGAUCUCAUCUUUGUUUGUUAUUGAAAGAGGGGCAAAUUGAUACUUGGUUACAGAUAUACGAAAUUUUUAAAAUGCUUUGAUUUUCAUUUUAUAUUUUCAAUAACAAGAGAAUAAAUUCAGUAAGAGAGAGAAACGAAAAAAGGUCCGUUUUUUCAUUUUCUGAGACCGGAAGUGGUCAUCAGCAAGCGUGGAGCCAAACAGAGUACGGUGCAUAGACUGGAUAGAAUUUUUUUUGUUAGUUUUCAUGGUCAAAAUGAGACAUCAGGUGGCCGAUCUUAAAAUAAAUCAAUAUUGAUUUUUAUAGAGCGUUAAAGUUUUGCGAAGCCAGGGGGCGGGACUACUUGAUUGACAGUCUGGUCUGGAAUGAUUGACAGGAUCCUAUGAAGGAGGCAGCAGGGACUCUGUUCUCCUCGUUUGGAUUAAUUCUGAUAUAAUAACUGUUGGUUUAUUUAUCGGUGCAGCAGCAGAACCUUUUCCACAGACAGUUUUCCUGCCUGUUGGCUUGUUUUAACCAGUUUUCGACCUUCAGCUGAUUCUACCAGCAGACACUGAAAGGACUCUUGAUUGUUCGGUCCCUCUCUAUCUCCCCACACAUCCACCAACCACUGGAACACAUCUCCAAAGUUCUGCUGGACCAGCUCAGCUUCCCCUCAGAAGAAGUGCCGCCACCUGCCAGAUGAAGGAGCCUUUUGAGAGGCAGCUGGCAUCGUGAUUGGACUGUACUUUGGUCUGUUCCAAUCCAGCUUCAGCUCCAGAGACGGCAGGCGGGACGAGUCAACGGAGGCCUGGUGGAUGAAGGCAUGUAGCUGAGUACAAUCCAGAAAACAACAGAGGAGGAGUGCAGCAGCCAGAACAAGCAGAGUAGCAUCGUAUGUCUCUUAGAAAACAUCAUAGUAUAGCCUUUGCUAUGAAAAAACGCCAUCAUAUACAUCAUAUAUUGUACAAAUAACAAGUCAAAGGAAAGAGACAUCAACUGUAGAAUUGUAGUAAUUGUGGGCUGACUGAUUUACUGAUUAGCAGCAUUUUAUUUUUUACUGAUUUACGGUAAUAAAUACAUUUAAAAAUGG